rnacentral:rRNA from 1 species
GAUGAACGCUAGCGGCAUGCCUAACACAUGCAAGUCGAGGGAGAAGCCCUUUCGGGGGCAGAAACCGGCGCACGGGUGCGUAACUCGUAUGCAACCUACCUUUCACAGGGGGAUAGCCCGAAGAAAUUUGGAUUAAUACCCCAUAAUAUUAUUGGAUGGCAUCAUUUGAUAAUUAAAACUGCGGUGGUGAAAGAUGGGCAUGCGUCCUAUUAGCUAGUUGGAGUGGUAACGGCACCCCAAGGCUACGAUAGGUAGGGGUCCUGAGAGGGAGAUCCCCCACACUGGUACUGAGACAGGGACAAGACUCCUACGGGAGGCAGCAGUGAGGAAUAUUGGUCAAUGGUCGGAAGACUGAACCAGCCAUGCCGCGUGCAGGAAGAAUGCCUUAUGGGUUGUAAACUGCUUUUAUAUGGGAAGAAUAAGGCGUACGUGUACGUUGAUGACGGUACCAUAUGAAUAAGCAUCGGCUAACUCCGUG